rnacentral:rRNA from 1 species
AAUAGAUACUCAGGUAGUCCACGCCGUAAACGAUGAGUGCUAAGUGUUAGGGGGUUUCCGCCCCUUAGUGCUGCAGCUAACGCAUUAAGCACUCCGCCUGGGGAGUACGGUCGCAAGACUGAAACUCAAAGGAAUUGACGGGGGCCCGCACAAGCGGUGGAGCAUGUGGUUUAAUUCGAAGCAACGCGAAGAACCUUACCAGGUCUUGACAUCCCACUGACCGCUAUGGAGACAUAGCUUUCCCUUCGGGAACAGUGGUGACAGGUGGUGCAUGGUUGUCGUCAGCUCGUGUCGUGAGAUGUUGGGUUAAGUCCCGCAACGAGCGCAACCCUUGAUCUUAGUUGCCAUCAUUUAGUUGGGCACUCUAAGGUGACUGCCGGUGACAAACCGGAGGAAGGUGGGGAUGACGUCAAAUCAUCAUGCCCCUUAUGACCUGGGCUACACACGUGCUACAAUGGACGGUACAAACGGUUGCCAACCCGCGAGGGGAGCUAAUCCGAUAAAACCGUUCUCAGUUCGGAUUGUAGG